UACGAAGGGGGCUAGCGUUGCUCGGAAUUACUGGGCGUAAAGCGCACGUAGGCGGACCGAUAAGUCGGGGGUGAAAUCCUGGAGCUCAACUCCAGAACUGCCUCCGAAACUGCCGGUCUUGAGUUCGGGAGAGGUGAGUGGAACUGCGAGUGUAGAGGUGAAAUUCGUAGAUAUUCGCAAGAACACCAGUGGCGAAGGCGGCUCACUGGCCCGAUACUGACGCUGAGGUGCGAAAGCGUGGGGAGCAAACAGG
rnacentral:rRNA from 1 species